AAAGGAGGGACAUACUAACACCAUAGAGACUCUGCUGAUGUUAGGAAUUGACAUACAGGCAAGGGAUCUCAAAGGCCGCUCUGCUUUGCACAUGGCCUGUGCAGGCCAGCAUACCAAUUGUAUAAAAAAGCUUAUAGCUGCUGGAUUAACUGAUUCUACAGAUGACAGUGGAAUGCUAGCAAGCCAGCUGCUCAAGAAAUCUGAAGCGCUCAAGGUUCUAGACAACGUUACAGACCGUAAAUAAAAUAUAUUUAUCCAACUGUAUUUGCAGUAAAUUUCCUUUACUCCUUAUAUGUAUCAAUCUAAACGUACACAUCCUGCCCCCUUCCGAUUCCCUGCCAGUUCUGUUUCUUCUUAUUUGCCAAUUUCCUGUCACUGAAUUCAGAAAUUUUCAAUUUAGCCUUUGAUCCAGCUGUGAAGUGCCAAUCAAGAGUACUUUGACACUACGUUCAAGCAUAGUUCUGUGCUGGGAGGCUGGAAUUGGUGAAUUCACCUUUUCCUGUCCUAAUAUAUGCCAAUCGUAGCAUUUUGGUUUUGCUGCCAAUUUAGUAACUUGGAUAUGGUGAUCCAGAGGCCUGGAAUAAUGGUCAGAGACAUAAGGUCAAACCCCACCAUGGAAGCUGAGAGAUAUGAAUUCAGUUAAUAAAUCAAUUUCUGAAAAAAAGCUAUUGCCAAUAAUUGUGAUCCUGAAGCUAUCAGAUUGUCAGGAAUACCUUAUUCACCAAUGUCCUUAAUAGACAGAAACCUCCCACGCUUAUCUGGUCUGGAAUAUAUGUGAAUCCCAGAUGCACACAACAAUGUAGUUUUCACUUAAUUGGUCUUUGAAAUGGCCUAGCAAGCCACUCAGUUCAAGAUAUUUAGGGAUGGGUAAUAACUGUUGGCCAUGGGGCCCUCUUGUGAUGCAGAGGUAGAGUACCUACCCCUGGACCGGUAGGCCCAGGUUCAAAUCCUACUGCUGCAGAGGUGUGUAAUAAUAUCUCUGAAUAGGCUGAUUAGAAAAAUAGGGUAAAUUAGAAAGAGGUGGUCAUUGUGGUGCAGUGGUAGUGUUCCUUCCUCUGAGCUAGGAGGCCCAGGUUCAUGUCCCAUCUGUUCCAGACAUAUGUAAUAACAGAUUGACUAGAAAAUGUCUAAAUACUGCCCAUGCUAAUGUUAUCUCUGGAAUAAAAUUUAAAAAUAUUCCUGCACUUUUAAAGCAUAUUACCUUACAUGAAUUAAAGAGACUCAUUUAAUACUUCUGAACUGUCACACUGUAAAUACCUUUGUCACAUUGCAUAGAAUGUACAACACAAACCCGUUUGCUAAUGUUUAUGCUCCAUGAGUGUCCUCUCAUGCCAUUUAAUCUAACCCCACAAACAUAAUCUUCUAACUGUAGAGAAACAGAGGCAGUAAUUUGGAGUCUACGUAUGAGUAAGAAUGUCUUUAAUUAAUCACACUUUAUUUAAAAAGUAAUUAAAUCCCUGAAGACCAUUUAAAAUCUGACCUCUCCCAGUGUUUACUUUAACAGCAAUUAAGCUGAAGAAUUGCUGAUGUACUUUUCUGCUUGCUGAGUUUGAGGCUACAACCAGAUUUUAGUCUCAAUUUGUGCUUUACACAGUCUGUUUUGUGAGCUAAUGUCCAUAAAAUAGCAACCAGUUAUAAAUUACUGAAAUGGACAGUUCCUAUAGAUUUUUGCCUUCUACCCUUCGAAAUAAGAAUUACUUGCUUAGAUAUUGAAAGCUGUGUUAUCAGAAGUGAUUUUGUUGCAAUGUUUAACCAUGGUCUAAUUUCGCUGGUCAGGCAAAUGUAAAAGUGUACAAUGGAGCAAUUUGAAAGAGAACAGUUAUCCCAGUUUCUGGGCCAUGAUUAUCUAUCAACAAAGAUCAUCUAAACUUGUUUAGUCAUAUGGUAUUUGUGAAUUUGCACUUAGCAAAGUAUUAAUGUGUUUACUUAUUUGUAAUUGCACUGCAAAAGUGAUUCAUUAACUGUGAAUUACAUAAGGACAUCCCAAAGAAAUAAAGGUGCUACCUACAAA